rnacentral:rRNA from 1 species
AACGCUAGCUACAGGCUUAACACAUGCAAGUCGAGGGGCAGCAUGGUCUUAGCUUGCUAAGACUGAUGGCGACCGGCGCACGGGUGAGUAACACGUAUCCAACCUGCCGUCUACUCUUGGACAGCCUUCUGAAAGGAAGAUUAAUACAAGAUGGCAUCAUGAGUCCGCAUGUUCACAUGAUUAAAGGUAUUCCGGUAGACGAUGGGGAUGCGUUCCAUUAGAUAGUAGGCGGGGUAACGGCCCACCUAGUCUUCGAUGGAUAGGGGUUCUGAGAGGAAGGUCCCCCACAUUGGAACUGAGACACGGUCCAAACUCCUACGGGAGGCAGCAGUGAGGAAUAUUGGUCAAUGGGCGAGAGCCUGAACCAGCCAAGUAGCGUGAAGGAUGACUGCCCUAUGGGUUGUAAACUUCUUUUAUAAAGGAAUAAAGUCGGGUAUGCAUACCCGUUUGCAUGUACUUUAUGAAUAAGGAUCGGCUAACUCCGUGCCAGCAGCCGCGGUAAUACGGAGGAUCCGAGCGUUAUCCGGAUUUAUUGGGUUUAAAGGGAGCGUAGAUGGAUGUUUAAGUCAGUUGUGAAAGUUUGCGGCUCAACCGUAAAAUUGCAGUUGAUACUGGAUAUCUUGAGUGCAGUUGAGGCAGGCGGAAUUCGUGGUGUAGCGGUGAAAUGCUUAGAUAUCACGAAGAACUCCGAUUG